rnacentral:rRNA from 1 species
AUUGAACGCUGGCGGCAGGCCUAACACAUGCAAGUCGAGCGACCGACGGACGGGUGAUUACUAUAUGGGGGCCUGCCCGUUAGGGAGGGAUAACUACUGGGGACGGUAGUUCAGACCGCAUACUAUUGGAUCAACGCAUAUGGGAUUAGCUAGUAGGUGAGGUACUGGCUCACCUAGGCGACGAUCCCUAGCUGGUCUGAGAGGAUGAUCAGCCACACUGGGACUGAGACACGGCCCAGACUCCUACGGGAGGCAGCAGUGGGGAAUAUUGCACAAUGGGCGCAAGCCUGAUGCAGCCAUGCCGCGUGUAUGAAGAAGGCCCUAGGGUUGUAAAGUACUUUAAGUCGGGAGGCGUUACCGACAGAAGAAGCACCGGCUAACUCCGUGCCAGCAGCCGCGGUAAUAC